UACGAAGGGGGCUAGCGUUGCUCGGAAUCACUGGGCGUAAAGCGCACGUAGGCGGAUUGUUAAGUCAGGGGUGAAAUCCCGGAGCUCAACUCCGGAACUGCCUUUGAUACUGGGUGUCUUGAGUGUGGAAGAGGUGAGUGGAAUUCCGAGUGUAGAGGUGAAAUUCGUAGAUAUUCGGAGGAACACCAGUGGCGAAGGCGGCUCACUGGUCCAUUACUGACGCUGAGGUGCGAAAGCGUGGGGAGCAAACAGG
rnacentral:rRNA from 1 species